UGUCUGGGAAACUGCCUGAUGGAGGGGGAUAACUACUGGAAACGGUAGCUAAUACCGCAUAACGUCGCAAGACCAAAGAGGGGGACCUUCGGGCCUCUUGCCAUCGGAUGUGCCCAGAUGGGAUUAGCUAGUAGGUGGGGUAACGGCUCACCUAGGCGACGAUCCCUAGCUGGUCUGAGAGGAUGACCAGCCACACUGGAACUGAGACACGGUCCAGACUCCUACGGGAGGCAGCAGUGGGGAAUAUUGCACAAUGGGCGCAAGCCUGAUGCAGCCAUGCCGCGUGUAUGAAGAAGGCCUUCGGGUUGUAAAGUACUUUCAGCGGGGAGGAAGGGAGUAAAGUUAAUACCUUUGCUCAUUGACGUUACCCGCAGAAGAAGCACCGGCUAACUCCGUGCCAGCAGCCGCGGUAAUACGGAGGGUGCAAGCGU
rnacentral:rRNA from 1 species